AAUUUAUGUUCAUAGACUGUAAGCAUGAGACAUCACUACAGUCCAUAAUGAGGCCAUUAGCAUUCUGCUCAUGCAAGCCAGUGUGAGUAUAAUUUUCGGUGGCCUAAUGUAACAGGUAAUCAUAAAUUAGUAUUUGCUUUAAAACAACACCAGAUUACACAGCCUGCAUGCUUAAGGAGAAUGACUCAGUAAGUAGUGCAGCUCUGUAAUGAAGUGGGAGCUCAUUAAACAGAUGCUAUCUACUUCAGCGAUCUGCAUAAGCAGCAAACAAACCAAAUGGAAAUGUUUCAACAGAACACUGCAGUCGACCAGGACAAGUUUGGGUUCAUUUGCUGCAGCACCAUCUACAGGAAUUAGUCACAGAGAAAAGACAAGAAGCUACCUUUCAAGAACAAGAGCUUCAGGAUCUGGUCUCAAGUCACCAUUUAACAAGCCUCGAAGGAUCAAGACCAAAAGUCUCCAACUUGCUAUAGCAUGUGAGAAAAAGCUGUCUGUGUUGCAAUACUCAACGCCUCUACAGUUCAGAAACAUACGCAAAGCCACGAUGAACCUCCUGAGCACUGGGACAAUGCAAUGGCAUCAGAUAAGACAAGAGUCUCCAGGAGAAACUGAAAAGAUAACCAUACUUCAAAUGUGCUUUCCUAUGUGUUGGGGACAGAAGGUCUCUCAUCCGUGA
rnacentral:lncRNA from 1 species